rnacentral:rRNA from 1 species
GAUGAACGCUGGCGGCGUGCCUAAUACAUGCAAGUCGAGCGAACAGAUGAGGAGCUUGCUCCUCUGACGUUAGCGGCGGACGGGUGAGUAACACGUGGAUAACCUACCUAUAAGACUGGGAUAACUUCGGGAAACCGGAGCUAAUACCGGAUAAUAUAUUGAACCGCAUGGUUCAAUAGUGAAAGACGGUUUUGCUGUCACUUAUAGAUGGAUCCGCGCCGCAUUAGCUAGUUGGUAAGGUAACGGCUUACCAAGGCAACAAUGCGUAGCCGACCUGAGAGGAUGAUCGGCCACACUGGAACUGAGACACGGUCCAGACUCCUACGGGAGGCAGCAGUAGGGAAUCUUCCGCAAUGGGCGAAAGCCUGACGGAGCAACGCCGCGUGAGUGAUGAAGGUCUUCGGAUCGUAAAACUCUGUUAUUAGGGAAGAACAAAUGUGUAAGUAACUAUGCACGUCUUGACGGUACCUAAUCAGAAAGCCACGGCUAACUACGUG